GCGGGGGUCUGCGCCUGGCGUCCGCGGCGGCGGCGGCAGCUGCGGGCGGCGGCGGAGCAGGCGGGAGCGGGCGCCAGGAGAGCGGGGGGAAGGAAGGAAGGGAGCGAGCGAGCUGCGGGGCUCAGGCGCUCCGCAGUGCUCCAGUAACGCCUCUCCCGUGCUUCUGGAUAGAAAAGUUGAGUGACCACUGUUUAGCACUUCUGUAAGUAUGUUUAUGCAAGUUGAUUGACUGGUGGCACAGCUCAAGUUGUCAUUGAUAAGUG
rnacentral:lncRNA from 1 species